rnacentral:lncRNA from 1 species
AUUACCAUGAUUUGCUGGGGUUGCUAUAGAUUGUUGAGAAUGAUCACUAGCUCCACAAGGAGACAUUGAAUAUAGUGGGAGGAUCCUCGAUGGGGUAUCAUCCCUUUAAGAAAAAAUAAAUAAAUAAAAUAAAAAGGUACAACAUGCUGGAGGUCAGAUCAAGAAGUCCAAGUUCGAUCAGAGUUAGGCAGAGUACUUCUACUAUAAGAAGUAGGAUCAUUGAAAGAGGAGCUGUCCUCAAUACAUAGCUUUUCUUGACCUGAAGAGGUCGAAUAAGAAGAAGCAAGUGGUUGCUGAGCAAGAUAAUUAUAUGAUAGCACCUUGCAACUUUUCUAUUUAUGAUAUUAUGAUCUGGGUAUUAGAUAUUGGUAGUCCUAUUAAUAUUUAU